ACCGUUUGAGCUUGUUGGGAUGGACCUUAUAGGAAAGGUGGUUAAGACAGAGGCUGGGAACCAGUACAUUGCAGUCAUGGUUGACUAUUUUACAAAAUGGUCUGAAGCCUAUCCUUUACCGUCUAAAACAGCAGCAGAUGUUGCACAACGCAUUUUGAAGUUCUUUUAUCGCUUUGGGGCCCCUAAGCGAAUCCUGACCGACCAGGGGAAAGAAUUUGUCAAUGAGUUGACAGUUAAAUGUUAUUCUAAUUGUUUGUGGUUAUGGAUUACCACCAUAUUUAAGGUUUUGGAAAAUAUUGGUCUGCCAGAUUGACAGCAAGGUUGAAGACACUCUGGGGAAGGAGUCGAUGUUGGAGGCAAUAAAAAAACGGGACACAAUUUUCCAACUAGUUCAGCAAAACAUAAAAACAGCUCAGCAAAAAUACAAGACCACAACUCAUAAAUCAGAAACUUUUAAGGUUGGAGAAAAGGUUCUACGACUCAACAUAAGAAGCCAACAGCGUAAGGGUGGCAAACUUGAGAAAAAUUGGACGGGCCCAUACACCCUUGUUAACCUAAUCAACAAAAGUGCAGAUCUCCAAUCCCCAACCGCUUUUCUGCCAAAAGUGAACAUAGAUCAGCUUCGGUUAUUCAUUGAACAAGAACCAAUAAUCCCUCAGAUCAUUAUAAAAACUGGAAAACCUGCUGCCCCCCCUCAACCUGCUGGGGAUCCAGCCUCCACCCUUCAAGGUGUUGAAGCUGCUACAGAUCCUGCUGUGCCACCAUUUUCAGGCUCUACACAAGUAGAGAAGGAUAUCCGGAAAGCCUGGGAUGGCAUGACAGCGGCUGUUCUUUCUAAAAUUGGGCCUUAUAAGCUGUUUUACUUUGAUAUUUUCAGAACAGCACCAGGAAGGGAACUCGAGAGCGAGCUGAUCAAUGCCUACAUGAAAUGUUUGGAGAGGAAGCACAAUACAUCCUCAGCAGAGAAAGUGCUGUGUAUCGACUCGUUUGGCAUGUCUGCUGUGUGGCAAAAAAAAAUUCCACGCUUCAAG